rnacentral:rRNA from 1 species
GACGAACGCUGGCGGCGUGCUUAACACAUGCAAGUCGAACGGAAAGGCCCUGCUUUUGUGGGGUGCUCGAGUGGCGAACGGGUGAGUAACACGUGAGUAACCUGCCCUUGACUUUGGGAUAACUUCAGGAAACUGGGGCUAAUACCGGAUAGGAGCUCCUGCUGCAUGGUGGGGGUUGGAAAGUUUCGGCGGUUGGGGAUGGAAUCGCGGCUUAUCAGCUUGUUGGUGGGGUAGUGGCUUACCAAGGCUUUGACGGGUAGCCGGACUGAGAGGGUGACCGGCCACAUUGGGACUGAGAUACGGCCCAGACUCCUACGGGAGGCAGCAGUGGGGAAUAUUGCACAAUGGGCGGAAGCCUGAUGCAGCAACGCCGCGUGCGGGAUGACGGCCUUCGGGUUGUAAACCGCUUUCGCCUGUGACGAAGCGUGAGUGACGGUAAUGGGUAAAGAAGCACCGGCUAACUACGUG